rnacentral:rRNA from 2 species
UGCCAGUGAUAAACUGGAGGAAGGUGGGGAUGACGUCAAGUCAUCAUGGCCCUUACGAGUAGGGCUACACACGUGCUACAAUGGCGCAUACAAAGAGAAGCGACCUCGCGAGAGCAAGCGGACCUCAUAAAGUGCGUCGUAGUCCGGAUUGGAGUCUGCAACUCGACUCCAUGAAGUCGGAAUCGCUAGUAAUCGUGGAUCAGAAUGCCACGGUGAAUACGUUCCCGGGCCUUGUACACACCGCCCGUCACACCAUGGGAGUGGGUUGCAAAAGAAGUAGGUAGCUUAACCUUCGGGAGGGCGCUUACCACUUUGUGAUUCAUGACUGGGGUGAAGUCGUAACAAGGUAACCGUAGGGGAACCUGCGGUUGGAUCACCUCCUUA